UCUUAGUCAGGAAACUACACAGAGAGAGGUAAGGGUCAAAAAACUUAAAUAUCCAAUGGGAGAGUCUGACUUCCUCUGUGGUUUCUCCAUCGCUCCCGUCCUCUCACUGGCACCCUUUAGAUGAUCCUGUGCUUCCCUUUUUGUGACUGCACCCCCGCCCCCACCCCACGACUGAAAAACCCUCUCUUACACUGUUCCUCACCCCACUUUAUCAGGAAAAGCACGAGAACAGAACUUACAUGACACCUGGCUGGGAGCAAAGGCUGCUGGUUUCAAAAUAGUCAACGAUGAAUUGGCGUGGAAUCUUCCGGCUGUAGGAGAAGCAGCAGGCAGUCGGGGUGUCAGCUCCAUCUGUAGGGGAAGAAAGUCAUCAUUGAACAGGCUUUCUCUAAUACCAGAAGUCAGCAAAGAAGACACCAGAGCAUCACCAUAAGACAUCCCAGAGGCAGAGCUCCUUAAGAAUCCCAGGGCUGGCUAGUAAGUACAUGACAACACUAUCCUUACUGUGAUUUCAAGUUCUGGGUACCUAUAAAAGGUUAGACCCUUCCACACCAUAGAGAGGAAAAUAAAAAUCUCAAAGAGAAAGACCAGCUUCUUUUCUCUUGUAGACUCUGAAACCACAGAAAAGACUGCUAUGGUCUGCCUUAGACCAGAGACUGGGGACACCUCCUGUAGCAGUGUAGACUCACAUGGCGCUGAGAAGACUUGGUUGCAGAGUGUCAUGGUACAGAGAAGAACAGCAAGGGCAGUGGUGGAGACCUUCAUGAUGUUGAGCAGGUGACAGAGGGUGAGCUUGUCAGCAGAACAGAAAAGGGACUGGUACUCGCUGCUGCUUGUAUCCUUCUGGUGUCUGAAGCCAUAUGCCCCUUCUCUUAUAGGUAGCCCUAGCAGAUGAGGAAA